rnacentral:pre_miRNA from 1 species
ACACUGCUACUUACAGUUAGUUUUGCAGGUUUGCAUUUCAGCAUACACAUAAUACGGCUGUGCAAAUCCAUGCAAAACUGAUUGUGAUAGUGU